UACGGAGGGUGCGAGCGUUAAUCGGAAUUACUGGGCGUAAAGGGCGCGUAGGCGGCCGAUCAAGUCAGAUGUGAAAGCCCACGGCUUAACCGUGUGAAGUGCAUCUGAAACUGGUCGGCUUGAGUAUCGGAGAGGAAAGUGGAAUUCCCGGUGUAGAGGUGAAAUUCGUAGAGAUGUGGAGGAACACCGAUGGCGAAGGCGGCGACCUGGACAGGUACUGACACUCAACUACGAAAGCGUGGGGAGCAGACAGGAUUAGAUACCCCAGUAGU
rnacentral:rRNA from 1 species